GGCGCUAACUGACAUGCAGAGGCAGCAUACUGGGGCGGGGCCAGGGAGCCAGAAUCUGGUGGAGCGUCAGGGGAGCUGGGCUCUGCCAGCAGCUCUGCCCCUGCUGAGCUCUGCAGCCUUGGGAACUCCGGCUGCUUGGAGAUCUCAGAGCAUGUGGAGUGGUUACAAGCAUGGACUCUGGAGCCAGAUUGCCUGGGUUCAACCCUCAUCUCAUCUUCCUGGAGCUGUGUGACCCUGGCUCCCCUUACUUCGGUCAGAAUUCUGCUUCAUUUCACAACCCUUCUCUGAUGCAUGAAGAGCAUAGACUGAGAUAACACACCAGGGAUAUACUGAGUUUAAGAUGCAGAAUGGAAGAUCGUAAAAUGUAUCAUUUUUUUUUUUUUUGUAUCACUAAGAAAGGGAACAGAUACCUGCUAAUUAAACUCUAACAUUUUUUCUUUAUAAUCAGUUUGAAAAUGCUCCUUCAGACUUCUUUAGACACAGAUUAUUUUUAGAUUGCAUAUCACUCUUGUGCAUUUGUUAACAGGAAAAUAUAAGGCCAGGGUAUUCCUGAAAUUCCUACACAUUGACAUUGUGUAGAAUGUUGAUGUCAAAUCAUAGCAUACACAUUGCCAGCAGCCUGGGAGCUCACAUGGGUGGGACCAACCAGGCACACAUCUUAAUUAAAAUGCCCUGUGAACAGCUACAAUAGGCUUGUACUCCUCUAAGCAAUGGCAACUCCUUGACUGUCACCAGGCCAGCAGCAACUGUAAUAUGCAUCCCAAUUUGAGGAACAUUUAAGUGUGAAAAAAUGUGCAUCUUAGAAUACAUGAAAUUGGUGAUAAAAAUUUAUACUUAUUUCUUAGAGAGGAUGGGUUUACUUCUCAGGAAACUUUUCAAGAGUUAUUUAAAAAAAAAAA